UCUCUCAAUCUCCGUCCCUCCCUCUCGCUCUCCUUCAUUCCUGCAUGCACACACACACAUACACACAUAUACACACACACACAGCUACACACACACACGAUGACUGAUGCCUUCUCCCUCCUCUUCGUGCGUUCUCCGUUUUCUCAGCUCUCUGUGGCACCUCUGAGACUUUUGGCUUUUUGUCCUCUGGUUAAAACCGUGCGGUGGAAGCCGUUCUGCACAGCUCCAGCACCAUGCUGUCCCAGCUACAAACUGAGAAGCAGCCGCAGCAGGAGCGGAUCAGCCUGCCUCUCACUUUACUGCCUGUGACUUUGUCGGCCGCCUUUCCGUCCUGCACUUUUUCCUCCUCAUGACGAGGUGAGACAACAGUGGAUAAAAUGUGAUGAGGCUGGAGUGACAUAGAGAUGCAGGGCUGCAAGUCAAGAGGCAAAGCACUAAGUCGAGAGUGAGGAUGAGGGAACAGAGAGGAAGAUUCAAGUUGGAAAAUAUACGUGGGAAAAGUUACUUUUUGGUUCGAGUCUAAAGGAAGAUCCAGAACACGUCGACAUGACAGCAAUCUCAAGCUCUGUGUGUUUGUGACAACAGCCCUGCAGAGACAAAAGGUGAAGCGUUGUAUAGGUGCUGCUGUUAGUCAGGCAGGUAGGCAGUGAGAAGAAGAAUAAUGGAAUCAAUACUAUUGUCUGUAACCUACCUGCCGCUGGGCUCCCUGUCUGGCCCCGACAGAGACCAUCAGAAAGAGAGGGAGCUGAGAGGAAACACAGAAGCACUCUGACUGGGGGAAGAAAAGGAAAGAAGAGGCUGAGUGUAAGUUAUUCCAGUCAUUCCGGCUGUUCCCUGUGGUCUGCCCCAGCUGCAACUGUUAACAAAGAAAGCCUCAAAAAUCGCAGCUCUGUGUCCCAAAAUGUGAAGGCCUGACGCUUAUAAAGUUAACCUGUAGGUAAUUCGUGAUGCAUUAAUAUGCAUUAAUGCAGUUCAGUUUAAUGCAGCAAACUGAUGUGGACACAUUGCGGCUUUUUAUUUUCAAAUUCAUGCAAAUGUUUUAAAACAAGAUGGAAACAUUAUUUCUCCACAGAUGAGCUAUGAAAUACAAAUAUUUCCAAUUUCGUUUUUAAUUGUAUGGUCAUAUGCAGUCUUCCCCAGUCAGUGUGUGUCAUUCUGUCUGUCUACCAGUGGGUGGCGUUGCCUUCUAAUACUUCUACGCAAUGACAUUUCUUUCUUUCUUUGAAGUGUUUUAUAGUGAUAUCACCACAGUGACCAAGCAGUGCAAUUAUGUUAUGUCAUCUACAGGUGGAUUGAUAAUUUGCAUGCCGCCCGUGUCCUGCUGGGGUUCUUCUUUUUUCUUCAUAAUCUUUGAAAACUAAUUUCUUCUUUUGCUGGUAAGUUAGAAGACAGACGCUGCCCUGCGUUCAGAAAUGGAUGGACAAAACACAGUGCAACGCCGUAAUGAUGAGAACUGCACGGAGACGUUGUCGAUCCUGAAAGACGCUUUGAAAUGAAAAAGUCUCAGACUGGAUGGAGUAAUCUGAAGUCCUCUUUACAGCGAGUUGUGGAAAAUGUAACUUUCGUACCGCCACAGUUACUGAGAACAAAAAGAAAAGGUGACCUAUGCAAAGUCUGCAUACAUAUUUAAAUGAUUAUUUGUCAGCUUUGACAACUUUAAGAUUUCAGUGUAUGUGUGUUAAGUUCCAGCGUGUAAAAGGUCUAGUAACAUAUUUCACAUGAGCACAAAUUGAUUUUUAAAACCUCUUCAGCUCAGUGGGCUCAGAAAAGCUAUUAGAAACUGUAAUUUGUCCACGCUAGCUCAGAAAUUAUGUCCAAAACUCCUGUGGCAUUCACCAACAGUUUAAAAUUAAUUGUUUCCCCUAAAUUAAUUGUGUCUCCUCCACAAUGAGCUCUCAGCGGCUGCGUUUCUGAGAUUAUGUGUGCCUGCUGUGAAAAAUGUUACUUUAUAUCUGAUUUGAUGCACUGCAGAACAAAAAGAUUAGCAUGGAUAAAACGUGGACAAAUCUGUCAUGAUUAUGCGCCGAUUACGCUUUAAUUGAACUGAUCAGCUUUGCUUCUAAUCUGCAGCAAACCAGGAGCCCGGUUGGUGCCGCAGAAUCCAAAUGUCAGAUGAGGUCAUUUCUUUGUCUCGGUGCAGUGACUCUGCAGUUCUCUCAUUUAACUCGAAUGAGUUUAAACUCAUUUAAACUCCGUUUUGGCAUUUUUGUAUAACAACUGGCUCCGUCUUUACACCCUCUCAGUGUAUUUUAAUUUUACAGUAUGCCCCUCUGUCCCUGAGACCCUUAACCUGUGAGGUCAAAGCAGGUCACAGGUGAGGUCCUCGGGAACAGGGCUGCAUUCAGUUUCAACAUCCUGUAGAGGAGGGGAUCAUUUUAGCAAAUAUAUUCAACAUGAUACACUCCUUCUCUUCUACAAAGUAUAUCUGAUACCACUUGCAGUUAAAGUGGUUUCUUUAAAAGCACUUUAAGUGCAAGAAAAGUGACAGGCGAUACCUGUCACUGUUUCUUCUGGAUUUCAUGCAUCUCACUAUCUGUAAGUGACCGUCAAGACUUUUCAGGUUGAAGAAGAGAAUGGCUGCUUGUCCUGCAGCACAGACCGUCUCAGGGAGCCAACCCUUCUGGCUGACUUUGUGUUACAGACCCCAGUUGGGGUGCAAAAUAAGAAGACAGCCAAGGGUUGUGACCCCGGCAUAUAUGACAUCUUCAAAAAUCUGUGGCGUCAUUUAUUUUUUUUUGAUCAUGUACAAGUUUUCAUACUUUCCUGUUUGUUUGUUUUUUAACAAUUGUAUGUUAAUAAAAUGUGAAAACGUACUCUGUGUAAUUCUUUUUUUAAAUAAAAGAUGUUAUUGGAUGAUUAAAAAAAAUGCA